rnacentral:misc_RNA from 1 species
UAACCAAUCAAGCUUGGCUUGGUAUUGGAGUCCGCUGUACAGCGGCUCUAAAACGCAGUGGCAGCGCCGCUGGGCUCUUUGCGUAGUAAAAUUUCUCGCUAUAGGGUUCUUGUGGUGGCUUGCUAAAAACCCCCUUUAUUUUUAA